CUCCUCUCAGGAUGGCACCUGGAGAGUUUACAGUACUCUACCAGUGUCAGCUAAGGGAGGGAGAGUCAAGCAGAGGCAUAUCCAUUCCAUUUCUAGCUUGGGCAGUGGCUAGUGAGUGGAAGGCAAUCUGCUACAAGU